AGCACACGGAGGAGAUUAACAAGGAGAGUUGCCGCUCAUGCGCGCUCAAUCAGCUAUCAGACUGCUGCGCACCGGGCUGGGGAGGGAGCGCUCUGCUCUGCUGCAGGUAACCCCUGUGUCCAAAGCUCCAUGCACGGUCAACGCAUCUGAGCUCCACUACGGAGAUAUCAUGCUCUGCUGCAUUUACUGACACCUUGUUCUGCUUCUGUGCAGCAAUUACUGGCAGUCUGAUUUCCACCGAGUUGCAAUGUACUGUUAGCGUGUAAUGUCCAAAACUGUACAAUGUUCGGCACUGCAUUCACUGUCACACUUUCCUAACUUGCAUCACUUGGAUUUCCAGUUCUAUGGAAGACUUAUCAGAAAACGUUCACGUUUAAAAAGCUGAAAUGCAGAAUACAGUAGCGUCAUUAUCUGGGCUGGGUGCACGCUGCCUGUGUGUUUGGUGCACAUUAAUCCUAUGACAAGCUCCAAUCGUUUCAUUAUACAAAGACUGUGACUUGUGGAUAGAACAUUUAUAGCUUUAUAUUUCCUCUAUCCUCUAAGCAGAUGCGCGUUGUUUAUUACUAGUUACCUUUCGUGUGUGUGUCGGUGUCAUUAGUUCUGGGCCACAGAGUGUAAUCCGCACUUGUGUGUGUUUAUUGCCCACUAACCGUGCAGUUACCCCUAAGGCUAAUUGCUUUAGUUAUGCCACAUUAACCCAUUUCGUUGCAGGUCCUUUAAUCACUCCGAUAAUUCCUCUGAAAGGGACAGGUAGCAAUGAUUACAAAUAUAACAAUACAAAGUUAUAAACCCGAUCUGUGAUUGUCAACACCCCCACUCCCUCCUCUCCCCUAUAUGACAUUUUCCUGUUUGUUUUGUACAGUACUGUAAUGUCUCAAAAGCAUUAUUUCAGCUGUGAACUAUGUAAUAUUAAAGUUCACAUUUUGCAACACUAAAAAUGGUCAGAGUUCUUAAAUAAAAUAUCUAUUUUCUACCACUCCA